CCCACUCAGAUGAGCCCAGAGAAAACUGAAGAAGAGAGAGCCGGUCUUUAGUGGGCUCAGGCUGGGACCAUUGGCUCAGACAGGCCUCUCAGGACUUCAUAUCUCUGCACCGUCGCCUGUGCCUUUAGAUUUCAUCACUCUACACUAAUUUUCACAGCUGUACUGUAAAAUCCAUAGGAAACUCUCAGAAGCUACUGAAAAGUCUAGACUCCAGGCCUCUUCCAGUCCACCUUCUCUCGGCAUUUCUGCACCAGCUCCCACCUGGCGAUGUGAAACUUCUGGUUGCUUUUCUGCAAACAUCCCCCUAUGCAUGAGACCCACCAAGGCUUCAGGCACCUCCCUCAAUUUGAAAUGGAAACUGAAAUCAACAAAAAAGAAUGAAGAUGGCUGGAAAUGGAAAAAAUAUAAAACAUGUAUUAAUUUUU
rnacentral:lncRNA from 1 species